rnacentral:rRNA from 1 species
AGCGAACGCUGGCGGCAGGCUUAACACAUGCAAGUCGAGCGGGCACUUCGGUGUCAGCGGCAGACGGGUGAGUAACACGUGGGAACGUACCCUUUGGUUCGGAAUAACGCUGGGAAACUAGCGCUAAUACCGGAUACGCCCUUUUGGGGAAAGGCUUGCUGCCGAAGGAUCGGCCCGCGUCGGAUUAGCUAGUUGGUGGGGUAAUGGCCUACCAAGGCGACGAUCAGUAGCUGGUCUGAGAGGAUGAGCAGCCACACUGGGACUGAGACACGGCCCAGACUCCUACGGGAGGCGGGAGUGGGGAAUAUUGGACAAUGGGCGCAAGCCUGAUCCAGCCAGGCCGCGUGAGUGAUGAAGGCCGUAGGGUUGUAAAGCUCUUUUGUCCGGGACGAUAAUGACGGUACCGGAAGAAUAAGCCCCGGCUAACUUCGUG